rnacentral:rRNA from 1 species
GAUGAACGCUGGCGGCGUGCCUAAUACAUGCAAGUCGAGCGAACAGACGAGGAGCUUGCUCCUCUGACGUUAGCGGCGGACGGGUGAGUAACACGUGGAUAACCUUCCUAUAAGUCUGGGAUAACUUCGGGAAACCGGAGCUAAUACCGGAUAAUAUAUUGAACCGCAUUGUUCAAUAGUGAAAGACGGUUUUGCUGUCACUUAUAGAUGGAUCCGCGCCGCAUUAGCUAGUUGGUAAGGUAACGGCUUACCAAGGCAACGAUGCGUAGCCGACCUGAGAGGGGGACCGGCCACACUGGAACUGAGACACGGUCCGGACUCCUACGGGAGGCAGAAGUAGGGAAUCUUACGCAAUGGGCGAAAGCCUGACGGAGCAACGCCGCGUGGGUGAUGAAGGUCUUGGGAUCGUAAAACUCUGUUAUUAGGGAAGAACAAAUGUGUAAGUAACUAUGCACGUCUUGACGGUACCUAAUCAGAAAGCCACGGCUAACUACGUG